CGUAGGAACCUGUCGCAUAGUGGGGGAUAACGCUGGGAAACCGGCGCUAAUACCGCAUGAGGUCGCUUCUGUAGUAGGGAGUGAAGAAAGCAGCAAUGCGCUGUGUGAGGGGCCUGCGUCCGAUUAGCUAGUUGGUGGGGUAAAGGCUUACCAAGGCGACGAUCGGUAGCUGGUCUGAGAGGAUGGUCAGCCACACUGGGACUGAGAUACGGCCCAG
rnacentral:rRNA from 1 species